GACAGAGGGUGCAAACGUUGUUCGGAAUUACUGGGCGUAAAGCGCAUGUAGGCGGCCACGCAGGUCGGAUGUGAAAUCCCUCGGCUCAAUCAAGGAAGUGCAUUCGAAACCGCAUGGCUGGAGUCCCGGAGAGGAAGGCGGAAUUCUCGGUGUAGAGGUGAAAUUCGUAGAUAUCGAGAGGAACACCGGCGGCGAAAGCGGCCUUCUGGACGAGGACUGACGCUGAGAUGCGAAAGCGUGGGGAGCAAACAGG
rnacentral:rRNA from 1 species